rnacentral:lncRNA from 1 species
AGCAUUUCAUUUACAUCAGUGACUUGUAAUUUUUCUCUACACUAUGCCUUCUCUAACUCGACUUUCACCAAUCUCUUUAAUCAAUUUUCAUCGUUAGUCAACUUAUUCAUCAUCAUCAUCGAGGUAACGUCCGUGUUCUACUGACCGGUUUUUCAGUCUCUGGAAUAUCUCAUCUAAUGACUGCGGCAUUGAUGGAUUCAUCACUCUUGUGCUGGUUACUGUUGUUGUUGAUUCUGGACCUUGCCUUAGUGGAAGAAACUUCUUGGUGGCUACAUUCUCUUUAAAACUCUGGAUUCCUAGUUUCAUGUUUCUCCAUGUUGAAGCCAAACGAGUAGAUGACUCUCCUGAUCCUCCUCCUCCUUCGCCAUUACUUCGUCCCGAACUGUCUGUUUCGAGUAAAGACACUUUAGCUGAAGCCAUGUUCUCUGACUUUGAGACAGGGGAUGGCGAGUAUUUGUUCUGUUGUUCUCUGAUAGCUGCAUAUUUGUUAGUGAUUGCUUCUCUAGCUGAUCCGUAUCUACGGGAAAUAUCAUCAUUUGAUGAACUUCCUUUCAUUGUGUCAUAGCUGGACGACAUCUUCAUUUCAACUGAUGAAUGUUCCUGCUACAAAGAUAACAAAAUAUAGUCAGGCUUUUGGAACAAGGUUAAAAUUGGUUAGAAGUUGACAUAAACUUACAGAGAAGUUGCUUCCUUGUUCAACGUCAUCAACAUCGUUGAAGUUCCUUGCUAACGGAAGAACAAGCUCGCCAACCUUUUGUCCUUCUUCAAGCCAUGAUCGUUCUUAACGAAUAUAUAAGAAGAGGAAUUAUAUUAAAGUACGAGUUAUCGAUCAAAGCUCAACAUAGAAAAAGAUGACUAUGGUUUUCUCUUUUACCUUUCUUCAAAAUCAUUAAUCCCGAAGGAUCAAAACCGUCCAUAUCGUCGGUCUCUGUUUGAAAUUUAAAUCUUUUCCAGCUACCGAAGUAAUUAAAUACGCGAUCAAAGAAAUUGCUUGCAACCAGUAGUGUGUAGAUAACCAUUAUGAGAGGAUAUAUUUCAUUGAACCGUUGUCCAAAGACCGGAACAGCGUCAUCGAUUCUACCCAUUUUCUGCAGAACCAAAUGAAAACCAAACGCAGUUAUAGCGCCGGCUCCUUUAGACUUCUAAGACCAGGAAAUGCACAAAGGGAGAUUUAUAAGUAUUACCUUCUCAAAUAUAGUUUCGGAACGAAGUUGAAUGAGAUUAAUGAAAUUGUAAGAUAUUGGCGGCGCAUAUCGAGCAAUCAUCCUACAGAGAUACAUACAAAACAUUUAUAUAAGCAUCUACCUUAUUUUUCUUUCAUAAAUAGGAGAAGAAAAGUUAUCACUUACGAGCAAAUCAUUAGUAGAUUAACAGAACUUGUUUGUCGAGGGGUCAAGGAAUAAAUCAUCAGCAUCCCGAUUUUGAAGAGUGAAUAAUAUGUACAGAUACACAUAUACACUAAAGGUACAAAAGCAAAUGCCUGAAACCAAAAUGAUCAGGAUUUAAGUGCAAAGAAGCAAGAGAGAUUUAACCUACAAUGUAGAGUACCAACGUACCUGCACUAGCAGUUCAUCGGAUUUGACAAACCUAAUAAGGAUUGAGAAGAGAGAUAAGUCCAGUUUACUAAGAAGGAGAGUUGCCUCAGCUAAAAGAAUUGCAGCUGACAUAAUCCCCGUAACUAUUGCUAACAUCAUUUGUAUCUGUUUCUUCAGCAGACACCUCCAUAUAAAUUCUGGCAAAAGCAACAAUUAGCAAAAGUAUUGUCAUGCAUUUUAACCAAUCAAAUCCCAAUUUAAAAAAAAAAAAAACAAUGAAAUCCUAAUUUAGGAAAAAAACAAUCAAUCCAAUUAGCAACCCCUCUCGAGGAUGUUUUCAUACUGUAUUCUUUCCGAAGUGGGUAUCUUUAUGAACUUUCAUAUUUAAGCAACGCGUUUAUCAGGUUCAGAGAUCAAAUGACUUAAUGAGUACAGAAUGUGUAAAGGAGCUUACCCAAUGUAUCAAGAAGAUUCCUCCAUUUUCCGUUUCGACUGGUUCUGAAGCUCGAAAUAUAUUUCCUGAAAAUUGGUGCAUGAAAGCUGUUUAAGGUAGAGAUAAACGACAAAGAGAUUUACAUAUUGUAUGAGAGAUGAAACGGCACCCACCAUCCAGUUGAAUCACGCCGUUCAUAGUUCUUCAUUGUGUCUUCAAGAACAAGGGCCUCUGUAACAUACGUCAGAUACUCGCUGCAAACAACCAUAGUGACACAUAAGUACAAAUUUCUAAAUAAUGCAGCAGUUACAAAGUCUAUAAAACUGAACGAGAAUUCUAAAUAAUGCCAUUAGAAAGCUCUCCAUACCUUUUAUAUCUAUAAUAUUCCUCUUUAGCAUUUCGAAGGUGCCGCCUUAAUGUUGCCAUUGAUUUCUCAUCUGCAUCAUAGUCCAUAUCGUUUUCACCCAGUUGACCACCUUGAGGCUUAAAUGAUGGGUCUUCCCUAAACUGGUAUAUAGAAUCAUCAUUAAAACACCACUGUGUGUUCAUAAUAUAAGGAUAGGGGGGAAGUUACCAUCUUAGCCAGCAUAGCAUCGAUCACAUUCAUGUAUGGUCUCAUAGGAUCACGCUUGGACAUCUGAGUAGAAGUCGCUUGAGCAACCUAACAAGGCAUUGGUUAUGACGUGAUUAAAAUUCUGACACGCAAACAGUCACGGUUUCUUAAGGGGGCAAAGCGUACACUUAUUUGGAUUGCUAAAACCUUAAGGUACUAACUACGUGAAGAGAUCUAAGGUGACAUACAAAAUGAGAGAGUCAUGAUCUUAGGUGACAUACAUAAUCAACUCUGAAGCACAGAGGGCAAUAUCUGAGAAAGGAGAAAACAAAGUUGCUUAGCCCAAAUAAUACUUACUACAAUCGCGUUUGAAAGUUCUUGAUGGGCAUUAUCAAGUUUCACAGCAAUUUUGGCAAUCUUGUGAGAGAGAACUUUUUGGCGGGUGGUCCAGUCUGCAUUCCUCCACAGCGUCUUAGGGAUUUCGCUCAAGCCAAAGCCAAGAAGAAAUGCACCAGUGACCAGCCCAAAGGUAUUUGAGCAUGCCAUAGCAUAACCAAGAAUGCUCCCUUUCCUGUCAACAUACAAGAAAGCCACGUCACAUACUUCCAUGAACUAAUGGAACUGCCAUAUACUGCUAAAUAAUGAGCGACUAAGCAGCAACACUGAGCAUUUUCUAAGAGAAUAGCUGAUGAAAGUCUGGAGAGAUACGAAAGCCAAUAUAUAAACAGAAUCGAUCAUAGAUUACCAGUUCCUGUGCAUCAUGAUGAGAAGGAUAAGACCAAGAAGACCAACGAAUCCGAGAACAAGAUAGAAAACUAAGUUGACAUGCACGCUAGUCUUCAGUCUCUCUGAGACGGUAAAGUCCCCAGCAUCUUCGAAACCCUGAAUAAGGGGCACCACAGCCCUGCUUAGAGAAAGCAUAGUUUAAUAUAUGAGGUAGAUAAAUGAUACACCCUAGUAGCUAAAAAAACAAUGACGAUGGAUUGUUAGGGGUGCACUUGAAAUACUACCAACCAGGCCAGAUCUACAUGAAAGGCAAACUUCCAUUGGUUUAGACGUAAAGAUAAACUUAUUUGAUCACAAACGGGACAAAUGCUGUCAUGCUGAAAGAUGGAUUUGAUCAAAGGGAGGGCACAUUAUACUGAUUUGAGCAAAGUGUAAGAAGAGUAAAGGCACAGAAGGAAAUUGAGGAGUUAAUACCAGGUGAGAAGGAAGGUACUCCAGUAUGACCAACUCCACAAGAAGGAAAUGGCACCAUUCUCAGGAUGAUUAGGUGGCAGAGACAGUGUCUGCAAAAUAACAAAACGAUUCCUUAUUCUGAUAGUUCACCUGAGCGAGUCUUUCAGAUAAAUAAGCCUACAUUCUUCAGCUAAAUCUCAAACCUAUCGUAACCUCUUAUCGAUUUAAAUUCCAAAUCAAACAAGACGAUCGUAAUCGGAGUGAAAAGGAGAUAAGCAACUCGAAAGCAAAUGGUUACCGUCCAGAUAUCGGCCGGAGCGAGGAUGAUGACGGAGACGGAGCAGAACCAGGUGUAUCCGACGGUGAUUAGAACGUACCGAGGAAUCUCAGGUCCGGCGAAGUAACGGAGCGUGAAUACAACUAAUCCUAGGGUUAGAGGCAACGAGAUCAAGUAGAAUACCCACAUCUCUCUCUCUACGAUCGAUUAUCAGCGAGAGAUCGCCCGACUCGUUUCUGUGUGUGGACAUACGCGUGAGAGUUACGCGCCGUUGAGGAGAAGCUCGUCCUUUUUUCGUUUUCAGUUUUCUACUUUUCUUUUCUUUAGUGGUUCGGUUCGGUUCGGUUCGGUUCAGUUCGGUUCGUAGAAAACCCUGUACUGUUUGAUUGAUUUAAUCGAAGGUAAUUAACUUCAACAAAAGUUAGGCCCAUAGGAAGGAACUGGGGUAACCUAGGCAAACAUUAUGGACCGUUUAGUAACCUUUUCUUAAAAUUUCUUACUUGUGUUGUAGCUUCAUGUACGCUUCUUGGGAAAUUUGGUUCUCUUUUGAAAUUUAUGUGGCUAACACAUAGGUUGUGAGCUUGAGAGGAUUGCCGCUCACAAUCUAUGUGCGUACACAAUCACAUAGAUUUGAAAUUAUUGAUAAUCUCUUUAACCGUGUGUCUUGGAUAAAGAUGAUGAUGAUAUGAGGUAUAGUAAAUAUUUCAAGACGAUUGGCAAAACUUUGUAUGUAUGAUAAAACUGUGAAAACGAAGUUUGAUUACAAGACUCAAAUGCUGUUUCUGAGGGAGCUUUUGCCUGGCUUUCAGUCUGUCAAGUUCUGCAGUGAAACCCCAUCACAUUGCCAUAUAAAAGCAGCAUGUAUAUAAUAUAGAGAUUUUCUAAAAGUAAUUUAAUACAGUUUUGUUAAAUCAAGUAGAAUAAUAAUAAUAAGAUGAUGUGAGUGGAUUUCAGUUUAAUCAAGUUCUUCGUAGUGAACUGGAUCAGCUGAUACAACUAAGGACUUGCAAAUGAUCCAUAAAUAUAGCUUUGGUUAAUACAUCAAUGGCACCAAAGUGUAAAUAUAUUGAAAAAUUAAAGGUAAUCUAAUUUCGUACUCUUAUUUUAAUAGAGUUGAUAAAGGUAAAAUAAAUACAAAUUUAACUUAUAUAUAUUAUUUAAUAACUUUUAUUUACAAGAAAAAUAUAUUUUUUUUUUUACCAUAGACUACACAUUUUACUUUGACAAAAUAAUAAAAAUCAUCAACAACUUAAAAAAAAUAAAAGUAUCAGUACAUGAGCCAGAACUACAUCUUUUGUUUACAGCUCAGCUCAGAAGAUAACAAUAGAAGAAACACAACUAAGAACAAUUUUCGACACCAACCGAACUGUUUUUGUAUUCUAAACUCAGUUUUAGUAAUUUGGCAAAUUAAUAGAAAGAAUUUUAUUACAAAAAUGUUUAAAACUAUAUAAAACAUUCAAUCAGGAAAAAGUAUAGCAUUUUUCAAUAUGAUAAUUCUGCAAUAUAUUAUAUUCACGUAACAAAACUAAUUGUAAUAUUGUUAAAUUAACUAACCGCGCAUAGUGCGGAAAACGACCGGUAAGCAUAUGAAACCCACAACACAAAAAAAUGGGCCACUAUUCAACUCUAAAUGUUUAGUUAUGAGUUUUGGUAACAUUUCAUGUUAGCAUUUCAUUUACAUCAGUGACUUGUAAUUUUUCUCUACACUAUGCCUUCUCUAACUCGACUUUCACCAAUCUCUUUAAUCAAUUUUCAUCGUUAGUCAACUUAUUCAUCAUCAUCAUCGAGGUAACGUCCGUGUUCUACUGACCGGUUUUUCAGUCUCUGGAAUAUCUCAUCUAAUGACUGCGGCAUUGAUGGAUUCAUCACUCUUGUGCUGGUUACUGUUGUUGUUGAUUCUGGACCUUGCCUUAGUGGAAGAAACUUCUUGG